rnacentral:rRNA from 1 species
UCGAGCGGACGUUUUAUUGGUGCUUGCACCGAUAAAACGUUAGCGGCGGACGGGUGAGUAACACGUGGGCAACCUGCCCUGUAGAUUGGGAUAACUCCGGGAAACCGGGGCUAAUACCGAAUAAUACUUUUUAACUCAUGUUAGAAAGUUGAAAGAUGGUUCUGCUAUCACUACAGGAUGGGCCCGCGGCGCAUUAGCUAGUUGGUGAGGUAACGGCUCACCAAGGCGACGAUGCGUAGCCGACCUGAGAGGGUGAUCGGCCACACUGGGACUGAGACACGGCCCAGACUCCUACGGGAGGCAGCAGUAGGGAAUCUUCCACAAUGGGCGAAAGCCUGAUGGAGCAACGCCGCGUGAGUGAAGAAGGAUUUCGGUUCGUAAAACUCUGUUGUAAGGGAAGAACAAGUACAGUAGUAACUGGCUGUACCUUGACGGUACCUUAUUAGAAAGCCACGGCUAACUACGUGCCAGCAGCCGCGGUAAUACGUAGGUGGCAAGCGUUGUCCGGAAUUAUUGGGCGUAAAGCGCGCGCAGGCGGUCCUUUAAGUCUGAUGUGAAAGCCCACGGCUCAACCGUGGAGGGUCAUUGGAAACUGGGGGACUUGAGUGCAGAAGAGGAAAGUGGAAUUCCAAGUGUAGCGGUGAAAUGCGUAGAGAUUUGGAGGAACACCAGUGGCGAAGGCGACUUUCUGGUCUGUAACUGACGCUGAGGCGCGGA